GAGCGAUCAAGUGUCGUAAGGGCGUUCGGUGGAUGCCUUGGCACUGAGAGGCGAUGAAAGACGUGGUACGCUGCGAUAAGCCAUGGGGAGCUGCGAACAAGCUUUGAUCCGUGGAUUUCUGAAUGGGGAAACCCACCUCCGACAAUUGGAACUCCGAGGCCGUGCGGUGACGCGCGGCCUUAGGCUUCCAAUUGUCAUAGUGAGGUACAAGGCCCUGAAUCAAAUAGGGGUUUUGAGCAAACCCGGGGAACUGAAACAUCUAAGUACCCGGAGGAAAGGACAUCAACAGAGACUCCGUUAGUAGUGGCGAGCGAACGCGGACCAGGCCAGUGGUGCAUCAAAGACAAGUCGAACCGGAAGGAAAGCCGGGCCUCAGUGGGUGAUAGCCCCGUAGACGUAAAGUAUGAUGCAUCCUCGAGUAGGGCGGGGCACGUGAAACCCUGCCUGAACAUGGGGGGACCACCCUCCAAGCCUAAGUACUCCUCAGUGACCGAUAGCGAACAAGUACCGUGAGGGAAAGGUGAAAAGCACCCCGACGAGGGGAGUGAAAGAGUUCCUGAAACCGGACGCUUACAAACAGGUGAAGCCCGCAAGGGUGACAUCGUACCUUUUGUAUUAUGGGCCAGCGACUUAGCGUGACGAGCAAGCUUAAGCCGAUAGGCGUAGGCGCAGCGAAAGCGAGUCUGAACAGGGCGUUCAGUUCGUCGCGUUAGACCCGAAACCUAGUGAUCUAGCCAUGUGCAGGCUGAAGGUGAGGUAACACUCACUGGAGGGCCGAACCGGUGUCUGUUGAAAAAGACUCGGAUGACGUGUGGCUAGGGGUGAAAGGCCAAUCAAACUGGGAAAUAGCUGGUUCUCCGCGAAAACUAUUUAGGUAGUGCCUCGUGCGAAUACCUCAGGGGGUAGAGCACUGGAUGGGCUAGGGGGUCCUACAGACCUACCAAACCUAACCAAACUCCGAAUACCUGAGAGUACUACACGGGAGACAGACGGCGGGUGCUAACGUCCGUCGUCGAGAGGGAAACAACCCGGACCUACAGCUAAGGCCCCCAAUUCGUGGCUAAGUGGGAAAGGAUGUGAGGAUCCCAAAACAACCAGGAGGUUGGCUUAGAAGCAGCCAUCCUUUAAAGAAAGCGUAACAGCUCACUGGUCUAAACAAGGGUCUUUGCGCCGAAAAUGUAACGGGGCUCAAGCCACGAGCCGAAGCUUAGGAUGCGUCGCAAGACGCGUGGUAGCGGAGCGUUCCGUAAGCCUGCGAAGGGCGACCCGUGAGGGCGCCUGGAGGUAUCGGAAGUGAGAAUGCUGGCAUAAGUAACGACAAACAGAGUGAGAGACUCUGUCGCCGUAAGUCCAAGGGUUCCUGCGUAAAGUUAAUCUGCGCAGGGUUAGCCGGUCCCUAAGGCGAGGCCGAGAGGCGUAGUCGAUGGGAACCACGUUAAUAUUCGUGGGCCAGUGGGUAGUGACGGAUGCUUACCGUCGUUCGGUCUUAUUGGAUUGACCGGGCGGCCGCGGUGUUCCAGGAAAUAGCUCCCACAUCAGACCGUACCCGAAACCGACACAGGUGGACUGGUAGAGUAUACCAAGGCGCUUGAGAGAACUAUGCUGAAGGAACUCGGCAAUUUACCUCCGUAACUUCGGGAUAAGGAGGCCCAUGUGUUGCGCAAGCAGCAUGUGGGGGCACAGACCAGGGGGUGGCGACUGUUUACCUAAAACACAGGGCUCUGCGAAGUCUCAAGACGACGUAUAGGGUCUGACGCCUGCCCGGUGCCGGAAGGUUAAGAGGAGGGGUGCAAGCUCUGAAUCGAAGCCCCGGUAAACGGCGGCCGUAACUAUAACGGUCCUAAGGUAGCGAAAUUCCUUGUCGGGUAAGUUCCGACCUGCACGAAUGGCGUAACGACUUCCCCGCUGUCUCCAGCAUAGACUCAGUGAAAUUGAAUUCCCCGUGAAGAUGCGGGGUUCCCGCGGUCAGACGGAAAGACCCCAUGAACCUUUACUGUAGCUUUGCACUGGUAUUCGUGUUGGCAUGUGUAGGAUAGGUGGUAGGCUUUGAAGCCGGAGCGCCAGCUCUGGUGGAGCCAUCCUUGAAAUACCACCCUUGUAGACAUGGAUAUCUAACCGCGACCCUUCAUCGGGGUCCGGGACAGUGCAUGGUGGGCAGUUUGACUGGGGCGGUCGCCUCCCAAAGAGUAACGGAGGCGCGCGAAGGUAGGCUCAGACCGGUCGGAAAUCGGUCGUCGAGUGCAAUGGCAUAAGCCUGCCUGACUGCGAGACUGACAAGUCGAGCAGAGACGAAAGUCGGUCAUAGUGAUCCGGUGGUUCCACGUGGACGGGCCAUCGCUCAACGGAUAAAAGGUACUCUGGGGAUAACAGGCUGAUGACGGCCAAGAGUCCAUAUCGACGCCGUCGUUUGGCACCUCGAUGUCGGCUCAUCACAUCCUGGGGCUGGAGAAGGUCCCAAGGGUUCGGCUGUUCGCCGAUUAAAGUGGUACGUGAGCUGGGUUCAGAACGUCGUGAGACAGUUCGGUCCCUAUCUGCCGUGGGUGUUGAAGACUUGAGAGGAUCUGUCCCUAGUACGAGAGGACCGGGAUGGACACACCUCUGGUGGAGCUGUUGUCGCGCCAGCGGCAGUGCAGCGUAGCUAUGUGUGGAAAAGAUAACCGCUGAAUGCAUCUAAGCGGGAAACUUGCCUCAAGACGAGGUCUUCCUUGAGAACCGUGGUAGACCACCACGUUGAUAGGCCGGGUGUGGAAGUGCAGCAAUGCAUGCAGCUUACCGGUACUAAUCGUUCGAUAGGCUUGAACGCUCUCAUGA
rnacentral:rRNA from 1 species